rnacentral:rRNA from 1 species
AGUGAACGCUGGCGGUAGGCCUAACACAUGCAAGUCGAACGGCAGCACAGUAAGAGCUUGCUCUUACGGGUGGCGAGUGGCGGACGGGUGAGGAAUACAUCGGAAUCUACUUUUUCGUGGGGGAUAACGUAGGGAAACUUACGCUAAUACCGCAUACGACCUACGGGUGAAAGCAGGGGAUCUUCGGACCUUGCGCGAGUGAAUGAGCCGAUGUCGGAUUAGCUAGUUGGCGGGGUAAAGGACCACCAAGGCGACGAUCCGUAGCUGGUCUGAGAGGAUGAUCAGCCACACUGGAACUGAGACACGGUCCAGACUCCUACGGGAGGCAGCAGUGGGGAAUAUUGGACAAUGGGCGCAAGCCUGAUCCAGCCAUACCGCGUGGGUGAAGAAGGCCUUCGGGUUGUAAAGCCCUUUUGUUGGGAAAGAAAAGCAGCAGGUUAAUACCCCGCUGUUCUGACGGUACCCAAAGAAUAAGCACCGGCUAACUUCGUG